UGGAAGAGGGACAGACAGACGUGAUGCCGGCCAAGGGAGCAAGCAUCCACCCCAAGGGAGGGGACAUUUGAGCUGGGGUUUGAAAGAUGAACAGGAAUUCACUCGAUUCAGAAGUGGGGAAUGCAUUUGAGCAGAAGAAAGCUGGGAUCUUGGUAAAUGGGAGAAGGCCAGGGUGGCUGGAAGAGGGGCUGGGGGUGGAUGUGGGUGGUAUUAAGGGCCUGUGGGCGGUGCCCAGAGGUUCCUGGAGGCAGGGAUGGGCACAGACUCGAGGACCUGGGGGCAGAUCGAAAGAGACCAUUACUCGUGGAUACGGUAGGGACCUGCUUCAUCCUGAGGUGGUGCCCGUGGGCCUGCCAGGUGGGGUUUCACUGGUAGCAGGUGAGGUGGUGAGGCGAGGCCCCUCCCUCCCGGGAAAAACCUCGGGUGUGUGAAUGUACGUGUGUGAAGGUACGUGUCUCUCUAGGCGUGUCCCUGUGUGAUGAGUAUCUGUGUAUGUGUGUCGCGGUUAUGUCCAGGUGUGUGUGUGUGUGUGUGUGCGCAUCUCUCCAGAAAUGUGCAUCCCCGUGUAGGGGGUGUCUAUGUGUCUUUCUCACUAGGUGCACACGCGUCUCCUGUGCGUACGAAUACGAGCGUUAUGCGCGCGUCUCUCCGAAUGCGCGUGCUUGUGUGUGAACGUGUCCGUGCGUCUGUCUGGCCGCGUGUAGGAGCGCUUCCUCCGGUCCUGUGCAGCCGCUCCACCCCUCUUCUCCCAAGCCUGCCCAGAUCCCGGUUCCGGUUCCGAGGCUUUGUGAACCCUGGCUUCUCUUGCAGCUGCCCAGCCCCGCCCUCAACUGACUGGCUCCCACCCACCCCCCACCCCCGAGCCCCGGGUGGUGANUGCCCAAGCAGACCGUGGCGGGUGGGGAUGUGAGUCAUUGGUGGCCUGGGGGGAGGGGCAGCCCAGCUGCCCAGGACGAGGGGGCACAAUGCCCGCCCGCGUGUGAAUGCGCGUCAGUGUGAAUUUGAACGCGUGUGCUGGGGGUGGGACUGGGCUCUGCAAAACUGUCUGGGCCGCCCAAGCCUCCCCGGGCUAGGCACACCCCGUCAUCCCCUGAAUGUGCCCAGGGCAAGACGGCGCUUCUCCCUGCCAGGGUGUCCUCCGGGUGGCCGGUGCUGGCGAUCCAUUCCCUGGCUAUUCAACCGAUAGGCGUCCGUGCCUCCCCUCCGCUCCCCGGUACUCCCCUGUGUCCGGUUUGGUGCGAUCGAUGGAAGAGGGACAGACAGACGUGAUGCCGGCCAAGGGAGCAAGCAUCCACCCCAAGGGAGGGGACAUUUGAGCUGGGGUUUGAAAGAUGAACAGGAAUUCACUCGAUUCAGAAGUGGGGAAUGCAUUUGAGCAGAAGAAAGCUGGGAUCUUGGUAAAUGGGAGAAGGCCAGGGUGGCUGGAAGAGGGGCUGGGGGUGGAUGUGGGUGGUAUUAAGGGCCUGUGGGCGGUGCCCAGAGGUUCCUGGAGGCAGGGAUGGGCACAGACUCGAGGACCUGGGGGCAGAUCGAAAGAGACCAUUACUCGUGGAUACGGUAGGGACCUGCCUCAUCCUGAGGUGGUGCCCGUGGGCCUGCCAGGUGGGGUUUCACUGGUAGCAGGUGAGGUGGUGAGGCGAGGCCCCUCCCUCCCGGGAAAAACCUCGGGUGUGUGAAUGUACGUGUGUGAAGGUACGUGUCUCUCUAGGCGUGUCCCUGUGUGAUGAGUAUCUGUGUAUGUGUGUCGCGGUUAUGUCCAGGUGUGUGUGUGUGUGUGUGUGCGCAUCUCUCCAGAAAUGUGCAUCCCCGUGUAGGGGGUGUCUAUGUGUCUUUCUCACUAGGUGCACACGCGUCUCCUGUGCGUACGAAUACGAGCGUUAUGCGCGCGUCUCUCCGAAUGCGCGUGCUUGUGUGUGAACGUGUCCGUGCGUCUGUCUGGCCGCGUGUAGGAGCGCUUCCUCCGGUCCUGUGCAGCCGCUCCACCCCUCUUCUCCCAAGCCUGCCCAGAUCCCGGUUCCGGUUCCGAGGCUUUGUGAACCCUGGCUUCUCUUGCAGCUGCCCAGCCCCGCCCUCAACUGACUGGCUCCCACCCACCCCCCACCCCCGAGCCCCGGGUGGCCUUGGCCGACCCCCAGACCAGCCAGUGGGGGCGCAGAGAAAAGGGAAAAGGGCCAGAGAGCAGCCAGCCCUCCAAGGAGCUGCGCCCACCCUCCACCGGCCAGCCUGGGAGCUCCUCCCUCCCAGGAGAGAAGGAUUUGUCGGGAAACCACGUGGGAGCAUUGCCCACACAGCCACCCACCCCUCUCUUCUUCCUCCUGGGGCCCCCAGUCUUACAGGUGUGUUUGGGAGGGCGAUUUGAGAGUCCAAGGGGAUUCGGCACGAGUGAGAAGACUGGCCGGCACCCCUGCCCCUGCUUUCUUGAUAACAGCGGCUUCCUUUGAGGGACCUGCCCCUCCAGGUUGUUCCUGUGGGGCUGCUGGUCCCAAGGCCCUGCCCCAACCACCACAGGGGACACAUGAGCCAGGUCUAGCCGGUGACAGCAUCCAGGCCCCCAGACACGACCGCUGACCCGGGUUUGGGCGUGUGACUGAGGCCAAACCAACGAGAGUCCUUCCCUGGAAUUUUAUACAUGGAGGUUGGGAGGGGAAAAAAACAAAAAACAAAAAACAAAAAAAACACCUCUUUCCUCUGGGAUCAUCAAGAUAGAGCGAUAAAGGCCCGAGGCCAUCUGCACACCUACCUCUCUCCUACUCCUCAUGGAAGGAGCCUGCGGAUGUAGAAGAGCCAGGAGAUGGGCAGACUAUCCAGGGGUGUGGGUUGUGAGGAGACAACGAGAGAGAGAGCAAGAGAGAGUGGUUUCCCCCCAUAGGAGUAAAUACAUUCCUUUUGCUUGAGCUAGUUUGAGUUGGGCUUCUGUCUCUCACACCCGGAGGAGCCCUAAAUGGCACUGAACACUCCUUGCUGUCUCUCCCUGGCUCCCUCAGACCCCACACGGAGGCCGCGGCCACCCUUUCCCACUCUCCUCCAGUUCUUCCUUAACUGCCACCUGCUGGGCUGGGAAAAGUGAAUUCCUCAGCUCUCCCCACCUCUACCCCCACUUUCCUCAACAGCUGCCUCCCCAUCCUGGCCUCCUUCUAUCCAGGGUCACAGGAGACAGUGUCCCUCCUCUGCCCCUGCUCACGCCUGACCAAGAGAGCUGGAACUGGAGGGCUCAAUGCCAGUGGAUCCCAAACCUGCCUGUACCUCAGAAUCAUCUGGGAAACUGAAAAAAAAAUACAAUUUCCCAGGUUCCACCAGAUUCUCUGCAGGCAGGCCCUGAAAUUAUAAUUUAAAAACAUCUUCACUGGUCAUGGCCAUGUUACCUUCUUGGUUGUUCAUUCAGUCUUGGCUUGAGCAGCAUUUGGCCAUCGAAGGACAUCUCGGGGUCCCCAGGAACAGGAUGUUGUUCAUUGUGUUGCUCAGAUGGAGCCCCUUUUAACUCCCCCGCCCAUCUUCUCUGAAGGCCUUGUGAUCUGAGCUUCUCUCUGGCCCGAUCUUCCUUUGGGUGCGGGGACUUCCCAGACUCCAGACCGGAUCCCCCAUGCUUUGAAAACCUUGUCCUCCCUGCCCCCCUGAACUCUUCCUCCCUUCCUCCACCUCCCCACCUCUCUGCCAGCUUCUUCUCAGUCUUUCUCUUCCUCCUCUGUGCUAUGUCCUCCUGAGUGGGCAGUUCUUCCCAGGAUGCCCUGCAGGGUGGUCAUCCUCUACAGUAGAUGUGGGUGGCCACCAGGGACAGAGGCAGGUCAAGGUGGUAGGCCUCACCCCACACCUCCUCACAGGACGGUAAGUUACAAUGAAAUCAGUGCCACCCCAGCCCUGCCUGGGAGCCUGGGGGAGCCCCACUCUCCAUCCUGUGCAGGAAAGCUUCUCUCUGGGUAGAUUCAAGGACGUGAUGGCCGAAGGUUGGCUAACACUCCAGUGAGAUCAUUGUGUGGGGCACCCAGGACCAAUUAGAGAAAGUUCUGGACCCAGGGCACUGCUCUGCUGGGUUGCUGGACUCGUUCAGUCAUGGGGAGAGGGGUCUGUGCUGCAUUUGUUGCCGAGCACACAUCUUCAGGGACACUCUUUUCACUACAGAGGGAUGACUUCUAAUUCUGAUACACCACUGCUAAUCAGCAGGCCCUCUGCAAGUGUAGACGGCCACACUCGAAGCACUGGCCAUGGCUGCCAGUGUAGGGUAGCUCCUCAGAGUCUUUGACCACGAAAAUGGAUUCCAUCACACACUCACACACAUCCCACUGCCGCACUGAUGUGAUUAAAGCCAGGGCAACGCAGCCUCUGUUCACGGCAGUCUAUGUAAGGAGCCCAGGGCUCCCUACACCCGGCAUUCGGGUUCUCUGGGGCCCAAGUCAGCCCCACUUUGUCCAGUCAAAGGCUGACCCAGGACAACCUCUGGCCUUUCAGAUGUCUCCCCACACCAGAAUGUCUGCAGGUCCUUAGCCUCCCCUCCACCCCCCACCCCUUCCCCCGUCAACGGCCACAAUGCUCUUGCGUCAAACCAGCAGGAUCUGGAUUCCAACCAAUUCUAGAGUGUUGGUGGAGCAGAUACAACAGCAAGUGGGAAUAGGGAUGGAGAAAGGGAAAUGGCAGAGGAAAAAGGAGCAGGGAUGGGGAGGAAAGGAGAGGGAAGGUACACAGGAGGUGUGGGGAAGGAAGAGGGACUGAGGGAAGGGGAGUUUCUCCCACAUCAGGGGCUCUCUGAGCUCCCUCUUCCAGGGCAGCGCCUCAGCCUGAAGGAGGGGACGGUGACAGGGACAUCUAACCCACCGCCGCUGCAUGGGACUCCCUCUGCCUACCCACUACCUUUCCCAUUCCCCCACCAUCCCUCCAGGCUACAGACAGACCACCUCCCCAUGCCCAGCCCCACCCCACCUCCUGGGACCUGGGUUCUGCAGCUUCCAUAGCCUUUGGCCAGGGCUGUGGGCCCCGAGAAGAUUCCAUCUGCAGACUGACCUCCCCCUCCUCAGGGCCUUACUCAACCACCUCAACUGUGGUUUGAGAUAAUCAGCAGGAAUCCGCUGGGGUUCUGCCCACAGGGGCUGGGACAGGUGGAAUGAGCCAGACCGGGUGAGCCUCCGAGCGCUUCCUGAUAGGGACAGGCCCAAGCAGCCUGCAGGGUGAGAACUGACCAGGGGCUGGCCUGGCUCCCACAUCCCCAUCCCCCCACCCCACCCCGGGCAGUCAGGGACUAUUUAACUUUCAUCCGUGUCCCCCCAUCCUAGUUCCACGUAGGUACGCACAGAUCAAACGAAUCCACGAUGACAAACUGUUCCUCUCAAUGAACCAAAUUCCACUGGCAAACACUCAGUUGGCCUUUAGCGUCUCCAGCCAUCACCACCCCCUUGAGCCCCGGUGGGUUCUGGGGCCUUUGGGUCAGGCCAAAUAUUAACAAUACUAUCAACGGCAGCCAACCUGUCAUAAUGCCACCGUGUAGGAGACACUAAUCUACGCACUUCGCAUGCGUCAUCUCGCGUAACCCUGUGCUGGCAGGAAAUUGAGGUCUCAAGGGGAUAAGCCACCUGCCCCUACUGACAGCCCAGAAGUGUAGAGCUCUGACCCCACCCCCACCCCUCCAGUCUCAGAACCUGGGCUCCAAGCCCCUUCCCAGGGGCGGCUGUGUCUGCCCCUCCCAGGCACCUGAGGAAACCCCGUAGCUUCUGGGUGAGAGGUCAGUGCUGACCCUGGAUGGAAUGUCCUUGGCCAGGCUUCCCUGGCCCUCCCUCCAGGCCACACUUGCAAGGUGAAGGGGCAGAACCCAGAAGCCUGGGCAGUGGAGUGCAGCGCCGGGUGAUCUGUGGGACAGGUGGCCAGUAGGGCAGGGGCAGGCAGCCAAGCCAAGGAGGGGCUCCGGGCUGCAGGUCAGACCCUCCUCUGCUCCUUCCCUACUUGGGAGGGGCCAUUAGAAACAGCACUGGCCCCAGGGUUCUUGACUGGAAUUCUGCCUGGAAGGCCCUUCACAUUCCCUGAUUGGAACUUGCAACAUGCCGGCAAAUUCUAUCAAAUCUUGGGUUUUUCCUCCUCCUCCAAGGGCCUCUGGAGCCUUAAAGAAAGAGCUGGGGGCUCCUGCCUGGUUCUGUCAAUAGAGCAUGUGAUUCUGGAUCUCAGGGUUGUGAGUUUGAGCCCCAUGUUGAGUGUAGCGAUUACUUAAAAAUAAAAUCUUAAAAAAUAAAUAAAGAGGCUCCUCACCCCAGGCUCAGGGUCCUAGGUUUAGGGCCCAGCUUGGCAGGCACGGCCUUAUCAGAGUUCCUACCUCCAGCCUCUAUACUCAGGGACUUCCCGGCCUCCCUAGGGAACCCCUUGGCAGGAAAAUAACUCCCUGCCACUGCUGUCCCCUGGAGAAGGGCUCAGGGGCCUGCUUCUCGAGCCUGCCAAGCCUUCUGGCUUUGUUUACUAUGAGACCUGACCCACUGGGUUUUCCCCCCUCUGGGCACCUCUAUUUCCUCCUUUGUAACUGGGAAUAAAAUAGUACAUGCCUCUAGGAUUAAGUGAUUCAUGUGUGAGCCUAGAAUCAUGCUUGACAUAUUGUAACUGCUUGAUGAAUGUUAGCUACUAUUUAUUGCACUGUUCAAUGCUUCCAUUUCAAUUCUAUGGGCAUUUUCUGAGGUCCUGCUGUCAGCUCAGCCAUGGGACCUCAUCAUGGAGCAAGACUAGAACAGAUCGGUGUGCAACGGCCAAACCAGCAGAGGUUUUUACCUGCUAGACGAUUCUGGAAGUCACCCGGAUGGAAACACCCAUCUCCCCAGACCCUGCUGAGCCAA
rnacentral:lncRNA from 1 species